rnacentral:lncRNA from 1 species
GCAAACCAUUCAAUAUCACAGUAAUCCAAGUCUAUGCCUCAACCAGUAACGCUGAAGAAGCUGAAGUUGAAUGGUUCUAUGAAGAUCUACAAGACCUUUUAGAACUAACACCCAAAAAAGAUGUCCUUUUCAGUAUAGGGGACUGGAAUGCAAAAGUAGGAAGUCAAGAAACACCUGGAGUAACAGGCAAAAUUGGCCUUGGAAUACGGAAUGAAGCAGGGCAAAGACUAGUAGAGUUUUGCCAAGAAAAUGCACUGUCAUUGCAAACACCCUCUUCCAACUACACAAGAGAAGACUCUAUACAUGGACAUCACCAGAUGGUCAACACCGAAACCAGAUUGAUUAUAUUCUUUGCAGCCAAAGAUGGAGAAGCUCUGUACAAGUCAACAAAAACAAGACCAGCAGCUGACUGUGGCUCAGACCAUGAACUCCUUAUUGCCAAAUUCAGACUUAAAUUGAAGAAAGUAGGGAAAACCACUAGACCAUUCAGGUAUGACCUAAAUCAAAUCCCUUAUGAUUACACAGUGGAAGUGAGAAAUCGAUUUAAGGGACUAGAUCUGAUAGAUAGAGUGCCUGAUGAACUAUGGACUGAGGUUCGUGACAUUGUACAGGAGACAGGGAUCAAGACUAUCCCCAUGGAAAAGAAAUGCAAAAAAGCAAAAUGGAUGUCUGGGGAGGCCUUACAAAUAGCUGUGAAAAGAAGAGAAGCAAAAAGCAAAGGAGAAAAGGAAAGAUAUAAGCAUCUGAAUGCAGAGUUCCAAAGAAUAGCAAGAAGAGAUAAGAAAGCCUUCUUUAGCAAUCAAUGCAAAGAAAUAGAGGAAAACAACAGAAUGGGAAAGACUAGAGAUCUUGUCAAGAAAAUUAGAGCUACCAAGGGAACAUUUCAUGCAAAGAUGGGCUCGUUAAAGGAUAGAAAUGGUACAGACCUAACAGAAGCAGAAGAUAUUAAGAAGAGGUGGCAAGAAUACACAGAACAGUACAAAAAAUAUCUUCAUGACCCAGAUAAUCACGAUGAUGUGAUCCCUCACCUACAGCCAGAUAUUCUAGAAUGUGAAGUCAAGUGGGCCUUAGAAAGCAUCACUACGAACAAAGCUAGUGGAGAUGAUGGAAUACCAGUUGAGCUAUUUCAAAUCCUGAAAGAUGAUGCUGUGAAAGUGCUGCAGUCAAUAUGCCAGCAAAUUUGGAAAACUCAGCAGUGGCCACAGGCCUGGAAAAGGUCAGUUUUCAUUCCACUCCCAAAGAAAGGCAAUGCCAAAGAAUGCUCAAACUACCGCACAAUUGCACUCAAUCUCACACACUAGUAAAGUAAUGCUCAAAAUUCUCCAAGCCAGGCUUCAGUAAUAUGUGAACCAUGAACUUCCAGAUGUUCAAGCUAGUUUUAGAAAAGGCAGAGGGACCAGAGACCAAAUUGCCAACAUCCGCUGGAUCAUCGAAAAAGCAAGAGAGUUCCAGAAAAACAU